rnacentral:rRNA from 1 species
UACGUAGGGGGCAAGCGUUGCCCGGAUUCACUGGGCGUAAAGCGGGUGUAGGCGGUUCUUUAAGUCAGAUGUGAAAUCCUGCGGCUCAACCGCGGAACUGCAUCUGAUACUGGGGAACUUGAGGACGGUAGAGGUCGGUGGAAUCCCCGGUGUACCGGUGAAAUGGGCAGAUAUCGGGGGGAACACCAGUGGCGAAGGCGGCCGACUGGGCCGAUCCUGACGCUGAGACCCGAAAGCCAGGGUAGCGAACCGG